UACGUAGGGUGCGAGCGUUGUCCGGAAUUACUGGGCGUAAAGAGCUCGUAGGUGGCUUGUCGCGUUGGUCGUGAAAACCGGGGGCUUAACCCUCGGCGUGCGGGCGAUACGGGCAGACUGGAGUACUGCAGGGGAGACUGGAAUUCCUGGUGUAGCGGUGGAAUGCGCAGAUAUCAGGAGGAACACCGGUGGCGAAGGCGGGUCUCUGGGCAGUAACUGACGCUGAGGAGCGAAAGCGUGGGGAGCGAACAGG
rnacentral:rRNA from 1 species